UACGUGAGAGGCAAGCGUUAUUCGUCAUUAAUGGGUCUAAAGGGUACGUAGGCGGUAUAAUUAAUUUUUUUUUAUACUUAUAGGUGAAAAUUAAUAUUAUUUAUACUAGAGUUAAAAAGGAGUAAACAAAAUACUUUGAGAAGAGAGUUUCAAUACGGAGAUACUCGAAGGGUUGCAAAGCAGCGAAAAGCAUGUUACUAUAAAAAAACUGACGCUGAAGGUACGAAGGCUAGGGUAGCGAUAGGGG
rnacentral:rRNA from 1 species